GCAGAUCGCAUUGUUCGAAGGCGUGGAGUGCCUCCUUGCCAACAAUUUUUGAUAAAGUGGAAGGGAUUGCCCGAGUCCGAAGCAACGUGGGAAAGUCAAGAAGACUUGUGGCAGUUCGAAGACAAACUAAAGCAUUACGCGGCGACGAGGGCGUCGCCCAAAUAGGCAGGGGAGAAUGUCACGACUCGCUCGAUUUUGGCACAAGAAGAUCGAGAAAUUUAAAAUGUUGACGACUUGAGGCUAACCGGAAUAUUCUAGACUCCCACAAGUGCAUGAAGAUUGCUAGAAUAUGGUGAGACAUUCUAGAAGCCUACAAGCUCCUCACUUAGUGGAUUAUUCUAGAUCACCCUAAUUUAGUCCAUAAAUAUUUUAAUGUAAAUAUUUGUAUAGAUAAUUCUAAAUGUGUAAUCUAGACCAUUGGAUAGAAAAUAUCUUAGCCAUCCAUUUGAGGAGGCUACUACUAUAAAUAGCUUGGUAGGAUUCAUUUGAAGGCAUCAAGAGAGUGAAGUUGUAAAGAGUAUCCUUAUUCAAUACAAAGCCUUCUUUGUAAGUUCUUGUGUUCCUUCAUUGUUCCUUUCUUAAAGUGUUCUACUUAGUGCCUUUCUAAGACAUCAACGCCAAUCGGGAGGCUGACUUAAUGUAAUAACCGCGAGGGCGGAAGUUGAAGACACUAAGGCCGCACGGUUCUUGGAGGAAAUUAGCAAGUCCGUGACAUUGUGCUAGAGCAUGUAAUCAAGAAGUUCCUUGGUGAUUAUAGAAGAUGUAGGAUAUAACGGGUAUAUUGAAAAAGAGCACUAGUAGAAAUAAAUCAUCUUGAUUUCGGAUCGCUCCCAUAAGACCAUUUUGGAAGGAGAACGACGAGGGGAACAAUACUCAGGGCUACGUUGUGAUGUACAUUGAAUUCGACUGUUCGAGUUCGUUUAGGCCUCAAAAAUUUAUUUUUAAAAUUUUAGCGCUAUUUUUGUCAAUUCGUUUAUUUUCAUUUUUUUACAAUUCUAGUUUGACUAAACUUCUUUUUCAUUACUUUUAGUUGUUCUAAACUAAGUUUCUAUAUAAACCCUUAUAAAUAAGGGCUUAGUUCUUUUUUUAUCUUUCAUUAAUAAAUUCGUGAGUUUAUUUUCUUUAUUAUUUGAUGGAUUACAAAUUUCUUGUUCUUAAGGUUUUCACUUGAAUUUCUUUCUUUCGUUGCGUUAAUAGAUUGGGGGUCAAAAUAUACAAAUGUUUAGUUGUAUUUGGACCAUACGGUAACUCAUUGAUGUUAUUUACUUUUCGCAAUAUUUAAACUGCAUAAUUGAUAUCUAAGUUUAGAUUUGCAUGAUUUAAAUUAUCUGGAUAUAUUUAAUUGUGACUUGUUGCAAUUGAUUACUUGAUAAAUUUAAAUUUCGCAUAUGAUACGUAUUCACCCCCUCUUAGUGUUAGUUGGAUGGAACUUCAUUAUUUCACAAAUCACACAAACCCUAACACAAUAAAAGAACAGAAAAAGAAGAUAAAAUUAUAGCAUUUAGACGUUGACUCUACACUUCAGAUUUAUAAACACUUGGAAGAAAUAGCUGGACAAUAAGCACAUCAAAAACUUUGCAUAAUAACAUUUAGAAAAAUGAUGCAAGAAAUAUAAUUUGUAUGAAAAAUUCAAAAAUAAAAACUAAUUUUGUUAAAAGACGGUGUGUUUUUUACCUCUCAAAGUCAAAACUAAUGAUGGAGUUUUGCAGGCUGAUGAGCCAGAAGAAAUAGGAGGUUCCUGUACGACACGAGUUGACUUCAAGAGUAAGUCUUCAUUUAAUAAUGCUGAUAUAGGUAUUUAAUAAUUACGUAAGACUACCCACUUGAUGUUGUGUAGAAGAACCUUACUUAUGGUUUUCUCCAAAUGUGAGAAUCGUAAGUGCGAUUUUCUUCAAGUAGUCAAUAUAAGACUUCUCAUUGUGUGCAGAAAUACGUUUUAGUUAAUAAGUAUAGCCCUUUUAAUUAUUUAAACAAAUUGAAGGGUAGUCAGCUAAAUUGAUGUUCAAGUAUAAUUACUUAUAUUAUCAGUCUUUCAUUUUAUUUUUCUAAUCAUUGAAUAUGCUUCCCAUACCAUCCCAAUGACUUGCUACUAGAUCAAAAGAUAUUUUUAUAAUGAAAUAUGUGCUUUAUCUAUUUUUAAGUAAAGAGAAGAUUAUUUUGAUAAUAAAAAAAAUACUAAAGAAGCAAUUCAUUAUCAUAUUAAGGCCAUGUUUAGUACACAUUAAUGUAAAAAUGAGAAUGAAAAAUAUGACCGUUACGGACUCUACACAAAAGAUAAAAAGUCAAAUAUAGUAGCUUGAGGUGAUGGAUAACGGUCAUUUUUUCAUUUUAAUGAGCAAAUAAUGAGAAACAAAUAGGGGCCGACAAUUUUUUCUGAAAAUAAAGAAUUUCUGAAUAGUAAAUUUUGAGAGAAAAUGUGGUUAAAAAAUAAGAAAAAUAUUGAACAUAGGUGAAAAAAUAUAUAUAUUUUAUUUUUUUUUGUGAAAAUUGAAAUUGAAAAUGAGUAUGAAAAUAAUGACUGUAAAAAAAGGAUUUAGCCCCCGUUUGUUUCCAACUUUUGUGAAAAUGAGAAUGAAAAAUAUAGUCGUUACGAACCUCACACAAGAAAUAGAAAUUCAAAUUUGAUGAUUUGAUGUGAUGGAUAACGAUCAUAUUUUUCAUUUUAAUGAUAAAAGAAUGAAAAACAAAUGGGGGCUUAAUUAUCAACUUGCAUAAAUUCCUCUUAUUAACAAAAAACCUUCAUGGAAAGAGGUGCAUGAAAGCUUUAAACUCUUCUUUCACAUGGUUGACCAACUAUUUUCAUGCCAUUCCACCACAUUACGAAAUUUACGAAAUUGCCCCCAAUUAGAGUGGAUGGUGGUAUUUACGUCUAGGGCAUUGUUGUCAUUUCACUAAUGCAAUAAGAGAAAAAUUUCAAUUUUCUCUAAAUAAAUAACAAUUAAUGGGAACUUUGGCUCUAUAUUUAAACUGCAUAAUUGAUAUCUGAGUUUAGAUUUGCGUGAUUUAAUUUAUCUGGAUAUAUUUAAGUGUGACUUAUUGCUAUUAAUUACUUGAUAAAUUUAAAUUUCACAUAUUACACCUAUUCACCCCCUUUCAAACUUCGUUGUUUCACAAAUCACACAAACUCUACCUCAGUAAAAGAAUAGAAAAAAAAAAAGAUAAAAUUAUAGCAUUUAGUUCUCGACUCUGACUUCAGAUCUAUAAACACUUCAUAAGAAAUAGCUGGACAGUGGACAUAUUGCGCAUCAAAAACUUUUCAUAGUAACAUUCAGAAAAAAUGAAGCAAGAAAUAUAAUUCGUAUGAAAAAUUCUAGUGGUUUUUACCUCUCACAGUCAAAACAAUGCUGGAGUUUUACGGCAAGAAACUGAUGAGCCCAAAGAGAUGAGAAACCAAUUUGCCUUGUGUUCUUUUAUUUGUUUUCCAGUUGAUGAUUGGAAAUGUGAAGUUAAUUCAAUGGCUUAUAUAGGAAGAAACAAGAGGUUAAUGAAUGGCGC
rnacentral:lncRNA from 1 species